GCGGGCGCUGCGCCGCUAGCGUAGGGCCGCCUGCGCCAACUGCGUGGGCAGGGCCCGCGGGAGGCUUGGCCUGGACCGUCCGGCAGGCGCACGGGAUUCCGCUGGGCCGGGUUGGUGGGGAGGUGGUGGGGCAGGGUGGGGAGCAGGUGGAAGGAGUAGGCUGUGCGCCCCGCGUCGCGCACGGGCCGUCGAAAUGGGCUGGGACGUAACGCCGCAAGGCGCCCUGGGCUUUGCGUGUUGCACUUGCCGGGCGCCAGGUAGUCCCGGGUUGCACCGGCGAGAGGAGGAGUCUCGGCGACAACAGCUUGCGGCUUCCUCUUCGCCGCAAUCUUGGCCCGGCUCGUCGGGAGGUCGCCUAACGAGAGUUGCAGUUUGAAUUUAGAUCGAAACACAUACUCAAGUACCUGUAAAGGAGAAAAGCAAGUGGAUGCCCUUAGCCUUUCAAGAUUGCUCCAGUUUUGAAGUCUGGCCAUAAUAGCAAAGUAAAACAGGAUUCCAGCAAAACUCCUUAUUUGUACCAAAUACAACACUGUCUACUAGUCCCCAGUUCUCCGCACCACCAUGGAGAAACCCCAGUACUGGUCUUUUGCCUAGAUUUGAUGCUUUAAGUCAUUUUGCCCUUGAUCUUUUACGUAAAUAUUCAGCUGUCAUCAUGCAUCUGUACACUAACAAAUUGAAUUUUUUUUUUUUUUGAGGGAUAGAGAAAUAAAGGACAUGCUUGACUGCAAAGGAUGUUCUUCCUCUGCCAUAUGUUAUACAAAGUCUCCUUUGAAGAGGAGUUAACUGGUGGGAUUGCUACUGUAGUUUCUCCAUCUUAAGCAUGGUUAGGACUCUAGCACUGGUUUUGGUGCUAUUGGAUCCUGCUUUAUGUUACUGCUCAAAUGCAUAUCUUGAAGUGCCUUACUUUGAUUUCUUUAAUGGCAUAAAGUAGACUUGUGUCUUUUCAAAGAUUGCUUGUACACUGAAAAUUCCAGUUACUAUUCCCAAGCUCUUUAGUUCUAUCCUUUCUUAGAUACAAGCAUUGCAAUGAUUACAUUUAUGCCAUGACAACUUUACUAACCUUUAUGCUAGUGCUUCAUAGAUCACUGCUUCUACACAGUGCUUCUGGGAAUUGUCACAUUUCAAUUCCUACACACAUCCAUAUGGAGAAUCUAGUUUAAUACUGAUGCAUUUCUUGGCUGUGCAUAAAUAUCGCUGACCUUAAAAUGAACAGAUUCACUAUGCACUGCCAGAAAUAUUUCAUACUGUACAUCAUUCAUCAUAUAUUUAUUAAGCACCUAGCACCUACUAUGCUCAUGCAAGGGUUUUCCCUCUUCCCUGGGAUAUUGUUUGUUGUUUUUCAUAUUUACAAAAUUAAAUGAAACAUUCUUAUCUGCAGAUAUUUUUAUUAGGUAUUUAUCAGGCUGACUCUAUGAAGAUUUCAGAUUUGUGUGUAUGUGUGUUUGUGUGUGUGUGUGUGUGUGUGUGUUUUCAUGCUUGUCUGUAAGAUUUUUAUGUCUUAGGUUGACAAAGAGUAGGAAUGUAACCUGGAGAAUGGAGCAAAUGCUUGUGUUCUAUUAUAGAUAGAUAGAUAGAUAGAUAGAUAGAUAGAUAGAGACAAAAUACUUCAGGAGAGUUGGGCUAGAAUUUGUUUUUUCCAUACUUUCCAGACACCAUAUUUCCAGGUACUUCUACAUGUUCUAGGUCAGGAAAUCUUGUCAUUUGUGGGGUAAUUGACCCCCCUACAAGGGCAGUGUAGGUGACAUUAUAGUAGAAAGUUUCUAAAGCAGCCUUCACUUAGCUGACUCAUCCAGCAACAUUCCCAGUGUGGUGUUCAACAUACAGAGGGAUGCCAGAGGACAAUGAACGCUCAUGGUGCCUGUUAACUUCUCCCUCCAGGUGAAUUGUGGGCCCCAAGAAAAUCUGUCCUACUUGUUCCCAAACCUGAUUAUACCUAUUAUAACUGUCCUUACAAAAUUUAAUUAAACACUAUUAAAUUAAUAAAACAAGGGUGUGUGAUUGCAAAAAGAAUGUUGUUCCAAAGAAAAUUUAAGUUUCAGUUUGGAAAAUGAAAGAAGGUGAGACACUGAAAAAAGUCUCUAUUGGGCACCUGGGUGGCUCAGUUGGUUAAGUGUCCAACUCUUGAUUUUGGCUCAGAUCAUGAUCUCAGGGUCAUGAAAUCAAGCCCCUCGGGGGUCGGGAUUCAUACACAGCAGGAUGUCAGCUUGAGAUUCUCUCUUCCCUCACCCUCUUCCUUGCCCUUCUCAAAUAAUAGAUAAAUAAAUUCUUAAUCAAAUCUCUAUCAAAUUAGUUGUGGAUGGGAUAACUGUAAAAGAUUGGGAAAGCAAGUAUCUAUCAGUUCCCACUUUGCUUUAAAACACUAAGAAAAAAAAAAUGUAGACAGUGAGAUACGUGACAAUGAUACAUGAAACUCUAAAUAGCAAACACACACUCAACAGACCAAGGUCCUACAGCCAAAUACUGGU